GAAAAAAUAAAAUAUAUAAUUACGAACCCUUCAUCUGCUCGGUUAAAGGCUCUGCCCUUAUAACCAAAAUCUGUGGUCUGCUGAUCUAUCGUCAGAUUUUCUCCGAUCACCGCUGUCUCCGCCAUCAUGGCUUACGAAGACGAUCCUUACCGCGAUGAGGAUGGAGAGCCGUUGAUGGACUACGACGAAAUGCAAUCAGACGGUGGGCAAUCCCCAGAACCUCGCCACGAUGAUUUCCUGGAAGAUGAUGUUGAUGGGUGGGGUGAACAAGAGCGAGAGAGGUCUCAAACUCCGGUAUAUGACGUCGAUAAGGUUGACAAGCCGAGAAAGAGGUUGGUGAAGAAGAGCGAUUCAGGGAUGGGUGCCAAGGAAAAUUAUGUGGUGCCUGAGUUGGUUGAUGAGGAUGAAGAUGAGGGGUUUGGGAGGGAGUAUGCAAUGGAAACAAAAAAGAGGAAGAAAUUUGGCAAGGAAGGAUCUGGGAGUAGUGGGAAGGAUAGGAAGAAAUACAGUAAGGGGGAGAAGAAGUUUUCUAGUGGAGGCAAGGGGGUAAUUGGUUCAAAGUCAGGGUUGAUGAAGAAAGGGAUGUAUUCAGGGAAGUUGUCGGGGAAAGAAGAUGGCGAGGUGAAGGAGAUGUGGGAUACAAUUGCUGGGGGUGAUUCUGAGGAUGAUCAAGAGGGUCCUAGGACUGUGGAUGAUGACAACUUCAUAGAUGACAGUGGUGUAGAUCCUGCUGAUCGGUAUGGGAGUGACAAUGAACCACGCUCUCCUGGUGAUGCUCCUCAGGCAGAGGAGGGUGAAGAAGAUGAGGAAAUCAAGGAACUCUUCAAGAUGGGUAAGAAAAGGAAGAAGAAUGAGAAAAGUCCUGCAGAAAUUGCUUUGCUAGUCGAGAAUGUCAUGGCUGAGCUUGAGGUUACUGCUGAGGAGGAUGCAGAACUUAAUAGACGGGGUAAACCUGCUAUCAAUAAACUCAAAAAGUUGCCUCUUCUUACUGAGGUCCUCUCCAAGAAGCAGCUCCAGCAAGAAUUUAUAGAUCAUGGAGUACUAACUCUACUGAAAAAUUGGCUUGAACCUCUUCCAGAUGGAAGUUUGCCCAAUAUAAAUAUCCGUGCAGCGAUUUUGAGGAUAUUGACUGAUUUUCCAAUUGAUCUGGAACAGUAUGAUAGAAGAGAACAAUUGAAGAAAAGUGGUCUUGGAAAGGUUAUUAUGUUCUUAUCAAAAUCUGAUGAGGAAACUACAUCCAACAGAAAGCUUGCUAAGGAUUUGGUUGAUAAAUGGAGUCGGCCCAUAUUUAAUAAGAGUACACGAUUUGAGGACAUGAGAAGUAUUGAUGAUGAUCGGGCCUACAGAAGACCAACAGUGAGAAGGCCUGUAAAUAAUUCUGCAGGGAUGGAAUCUAGGGAUGGUGAUCUGGACUUGGAUAUUUCACGGGAGCGAAGAUCUGGUCAGUCAUCUGACAGACAACAUGCUUCUAGGCCAGAAGCA
rnacentral:misc_RNA from 1 species